UGAACGCUAGCUACAGGCUUAACACAUGCAAGUCGCGGGGCAGCAUGAAUUUAGCUUGCUAAAUUUGAUGGCGACCGGCGCACGGGUGAGUAACGCGUAUCCAACCUGCCCAUGUCCACGGGAUAGCCCGUCGAAAGGCGGAUUAAUACCGUAUGAGGUCACAUGAUGGCAUCAGACUGUGACGAAAGGUUUGGCGGACAUGGAUGGGGAUGCGUCCGAUUAGCUAGUUGGCGGGGUAACGGCCCACCAAGGCGACGAUCGGUAGGGGUUCUGAGAGGAAGGUCCCCCACAUUGGAACUGAGACACGGUCCAAACUCCUACGGGAGGCAGCAGUGAGGAAUAUUGGUCAAUGGGCGUGAGCCUGAACCAGCCAAGUAGCGUGCAGGAUGACGGCCCUAUGGGUUGUAAACUGCUUUUAUGCGGGGAUAAAGUCGGCCACGUGUGGCUGUUUGCAGGUACCGCAUGAAUAAGGACCGGCUAAUUCCGUG
rnacentral:rRNA from 1 species